rnacentral:lncRNA from 1 species
ACUAGAUCAAAGUGUCCAGCUGGUAACAGAAGAGUGGGCUGCAGGGCCUGACCCUCUGGUAUUGGCUGCCCAGGGGGAGAGCAGUUGAGAUGAGCUCUCCCGGUGGGUAAUAAAAUGAGUCUACGUAGGGAGGAAGCAGGAUGUAUAAAGCCCAGGAGCCUGAUCUGUUUCUGAGAUCAAACAGAGCAGCAUUGUACCGGGGUGUGGAGCUGAUGUCAGCGUCUAGAAUGCUGGUCGGAAUCGCCCUGGUUACGCAGCUGGACCGGAAUAAGGCAAAAAAAGCCCAAAGAAACAGAAAAGACCAAGAAAGGGUUUCUGCACUUGAGAAGUUCAAAAGCCUGUAUUUCAUUUUACUCACAUAACCACAGAAGUCUCCCCCAUCACACCCAACGGCUGCAGCUCGGCCUCUGCCAAGCCACAACCAAAGGAAAAGCCAGAAGGAAAACACUUUCUGACACAGGAGAGCCAGGAACAUCAAUACAGAGACCAACCUUGCAACCUCACGGAACCACAGCGUGCGGGAGCGGGAAGGGGCCUUAGAAGUCAUUGCCCAUCCCUUCAUCCUACAGAACAAGAAACUGAGGCCCACACGGACAAGUGAUUGCUCAACCCCUCCAUGCCCGUGAGUGGCACAGGCGGCUGGAAUUGGGCCCAGGUGCCUUGUCUCCGGUUCUCUUUCCAUCACACCAGGAGCACUUGGGAAAUUUGUGCAAGGACCUCCUCGAGGCCAGUGGGCAAAAGCCAUUUCACAAAUUUGCGCAAUAGAAACUGUAUUCUUCUUCAGCAAAUGUAACAUUAGCCGGUGGUAACCACUGCUGUGGAGAGGUGAUCCUGAGGAUCCAGUUUGGCUGCUGGUCUCCAGAUUACAGAUCAACCAGAACGUUACACAGAAAGUGAGAAUUAGCCGGAGCCCGUCUCAAAAACACGACCGGAAUUGAACAUCAGCAGGCCACUGCAGUCUACCUUUGGUGCUGGCGAGAAGACUGGCCCCACCAGCUCAGUGGAUGCCUCCACAACUGGCUGAUGGUUUGGUUGUCCCAAGUCAUCAUUUUUUUUCUUCAAAUACACAAAGCCCAACUUGAGGACCAAGACAAAACAACAUAAAUGUCCUUUAAAGCAAAAGUCCCAACCCAGCAACCCAGAACCUAGCAGACCCCAAGGAGCUCAGAUCCAAAAUGACCUCGUAACGACAGUGGAAAAACCCACACGAGAAAACCUUUCGUGAGGAGGGUGCUUCAUAAAAUCCAGCUGAAUAAAACCUCAUUUCUCUAAACCGCCUUUCUCUGCUACCUCCAGAAGCCAGCCGCCUCAGGAUCUCAACGUGCCCCUGCAUGGUGACCAUCACCUCCCGUCCUGCUAUGUCUAAACUGCCAACCUCAGCUUCACGCUCAUUCCCUCCAUGAAAGUGCAUGAUUUCUACAUCGAGGCUCCUGGAAUCGCCCCCCUCCUCUUUUUCUCUUUUUUUCAGUCCUCCUUUUCCUUCUUUGGGUCCUGAGCACCCUGCCAUUCUUCCAAAAUGGAGAAAAGCAGGGGGGGGAAAGAGGAGAAGCAAACGAAACUUCCCCACGGCUCUGUGAGUGACUGCUAGGUUUCCAUGGCUCGCUUUCCACUGUUCCCGGUGACCCCUGCAGACUCCCCUUAUGAGUGAGUGUCCCGGAAUGUCUCUUUAUUAGGUGUCUGGAGAAGUAAAGCUGUCCUGAUGCCAGCGCCCCCACACUGAGGACUUUAUUAGUUUUUUAAUUUUCUGUCCGGGUGCUCCUGCUGCAUCAAACUUUCCACAGCUGUUAGGAGCUAUUAACAUGUCUUGGGGCAGUAGCUGCCUUCCCCCACCACACCAGGCUCAGACAGAACAUCCGGCCCAAGGCCUUGGAGCAGAGGAGGAGAUCUCAGUGGGGCAACAGCCUUGGCCCGAGGUGGCCCUGCAGGGGCACACACGCUCCGACCUGGGAUGGAUGGCAGAUGCAAGCGGUCCUCUUCCCCAUUCUCUGCCACAGAGAAAGCCAAUGACCCAUUUCAUGGCAUCCAGCUCUUCACCUCUCAGAAAUAUAGCCAUCAAAAAUCUCAACCAAUUCAUGGGCUUCGGCUUUCUCGCCUUUUCCUGCCGACUCUCCAAAACCUCGAGGCAACCAAAAGGGUUAGCUGAACUCAGCCAGACCCAACAGAUCUGGCCGGGCCGGUGUUAAUCCUCACUAUUCAAACUGGACUUGUCUUUUCAACCUGAUGACGUUCUAUAGUGAUUUCUAGAUGCCAGGAAAUUGUAGAGUUCAAAGGUUAAAAAAAAAACACACACCCUACCUCUGCCCCACCACAACCUCGGCAUCAGUUCCCAGUACAAUCUCUUCUAAGAUCCCUCAGCACCUGGAACGCAGCUUUGGAUGCGGUUAUUCUUUCGAUAUAGUUAUUUAACUAUUUGUCUCCCCUACUAGCCUGAACUCCUUGAGAACAACAACCCUGUCCUUUUCAACUUUCUACCCUCUGGAUCUUGAACGGUGGCACCCAAAAAGAUAUGACCAAGUCCUAACCCCUAGUACUUAGGAAUGUGAUCAUAUUUGGAAAAAGGGUCUUCACAAAUGCAAUUAAAUUAUGGAUCUCCAGAUGAGAUCAGCCUGGAUUGUCCAAGUGGGCCCUAAAUCCAAUGACAAGUACCCUUCUCAGAGACACACCGAAGACAGACACUCAGGGAGGAGGAGGUCACGCCAAGCCAGAGGCAGAGACAGGAGUGAUGCAGCCACAAGCCAAGAAAUAUCUGGAGCCACCAGAAGCUGGAAGAAAUGAGGCAAGUUCUCUAGAGGCUUCAGAGGGAGUCUGGCCCUCCCAACACCUUGACUUCAGACUUCUGGCCUCUG